rnacentral:rRNA from 1 species
AGCAGCCGCGGUAAUUCCAGCUCCAAUAGCGUAUAUUAAAGUUGUUGCAGUUAAAAAGCUCGUAGUUGAAUUUCGGGAUCAGUACGCUGGUCGUGCCUUUGGUAUGUACUGGUGUCACUGAUUCCUCCCUUCUGAAGAACCGUUAUGCCAUUUAUUUGGUGUGGCGGGGAAUCAGGACUGUUACUUUGAAAAAUUAGAGUGUUUAAAGCAGGCUCGCGCUUGAAUACAUUAGCAUGGAAUAAUGAAAUAGGACGUUUGAUCUUAUUUUGUUGGUUUCUAGGAUCGACGUAAUGAUUAAUAGGGAUAGUUGGGGGCAUUAGUAUUCAAUUGUCAGAGGUGAAAUUCUUGGAUUUAUUGAAGACUAACUACUGCGAAAGCAUUUGCCAAGGAUGUUUUCAUUAAUCAAGAACGAAAGUUAGGGGAUCGAAGACGAUCAGAUACCGUCGUAGUCUUAACCAUAAACUAUGCCGACUAGGGA